GGCCGGUUAGCUCAGUUGGUCAGGCGUCGUGCUAAUAGCAUGAAGGUCGCGGGUUCAAAGCCCGUACUGGCCA